rnacentral:rRNA from 1 species
CUAGCCGUAAACGGUGGGCACUAGGUGUUGGAGGCAUCGACCCCUCCAGUGCCGCAGCUAACGCAUUAAGUGCCCCGCCUGGGGAGUACGGCCGCAAGGUUGAAACUCAAAGGAAUUGACGGGGGCCCGCACAAGCGGUGGAGCAUGUGGUUUAAUUCGACGCGACGCGAAGAACCCUACCCAGACUUGACAUGCACCGGACCGGCGUUGAAAGACGCCUUCCCUUCGGGGCCGGUGCACAGAUGCUGCAUGGCUGUCGUCAGCUCGAGGCGUGAGAUGUUGGGUUUAUGCGGGACUUAACCCAUCAUUUCACGACACGAGUGA